rnacentral:lncRNA from 1 species
UAGUAACGUGGGCUUAUAACUAAGCAGGGCAUUAAAGUGAUUGGUUGCUUCGAUGAAGCCUCACCAGGUGAGGUUAUGGUGGUCUUGGUUUGUUCACCUUGGGUGAAAUCACACUAAGUGCGCCCGUAGGGUUCCCCAUCCACCAUGGUUGGGUAGCUAAUAAAAACUUGCUUUAGAUUGGGGUUAUGGGUUGUAACCCAAGCCCUGCAGACCAAGAUACACGUACCCUCAGCGUGCUGUCUGGUGUUUGGCAUCUCACUACACAUUCACUUUUUGUAACCCCCAUCAAGCCAUAUAUACCAUCUACCAGUUGAAAAUUGCAAAGAUGAGUCGACUAUUUAGAUCAAACUCGUGCGUAAGUUAUAAUGGUGUGUGGCAUCUCACUACACAUUCACUUUUUGUAACCCCCAUCAAGCCAUAUAUACCAUCUACCAGUUGAAAAUUGGACGAACUGAGUUACAUCUUGACUGAUUUGUUCCUCAAGCUACCCACAUCAAAGUGACGAACAUCAGUAAUCUUGCAAAGAUGAGUCGACUGUUUAGAUCAAACUCGUGCGUAAGUUAUAAUUCUAGAGCCAGUAUUAGUAAAAAUCCUGACAUAGUAAAUGAAGAAUAAAUAGAGUAUCAAUCAAAUAAAAAUAUUGAUUAUAAUGAUUGGAAUAUACCCAAGGUUCAAGGUACUGAAAAUUACAAGAAAAAAUGGUCACUCUCUGCUUUUAAAACCAUAGCUCAUAUUAAGACAGUAGAACAAGUUUAUGCACUCGGUAAAGUACACGAGACAUAUCAGUUAUUCAACAUUGAAUCAAUUAAAAAACACAGAAAAUAUUGUCAUAAUUUCUUGCAUAUUGAUUUAGUUCAAGUUGCCGUCAAGCCCUUCACAAAAAAUGAAAACUUUUUCUGUCUUAUAAGAUUUUAGUUCUAAAACAAACAGCAUCCAAGUGAUGUAAAAAUUUUGAGCAGCUGACGAUCUGUAUGUUCUUUGUGUGUAUGUGUAUGUGUGUGUAGAUAUUGGUGCUUGAGAGAAGCAUAUGUCAAAGCCAUUGGGAGUGGAGUGGCAUAUGGUUUGGACAAAGUGGAAUUUCAUCACAGUAGCUGGACAAAUAUUUGUGUACACGUUGAUGGGAAGCUUAUGAGAGGAUGGUGAUUUUGGCUUCUCGAGCUAGGGAAGGGACAUUUGGUAAGUUCAUUGGUAAUUCUCUCUUUCUUUUCCACGAGCUUUGGCUUUUUGGUGCAUAUCGCUGUGUCAUUUUGAUCGUCAUGGUUACAUAGUUAUUUUAUUGGUUAUCUAUAACAUCCACGCACUUGGUGCGAUGGCAAGUGCCUUCGCCCAUGAGCGGUAGGUCUCGGGUUCGAGACUUGGAAGCAGCCUUUCCAUAAAUUGGGGUAAGGCUAGCCGACAUUCACCUCUCCCAGACCCUGUGUAAAGCGGGAGCCUUGUGCACUGGGUACGACCGAUCUAUAACAUCCACAUUUAGUAAAAGUAACGUUGGUGCGUAGGUAAAUUGGAAUAUUUCACGACGUUAUGUGUUGAAUGAUAACAUCCAUAUGGAGGGAUAUUUGUUGUAACAAAAAUAUCAAGAAAAGGAGGAAACUUGGAGACUCGAGAACAUUAACGAUUAAAGGCUGAAACAUUGAAGACAUGUUCUGAAUUCUAACCUUGGCAGUAGUUGCAGUAGUUUCAUUUAGGUUAGGUUAAGUUAAGAGAAAGAUUAACCUAGGAUAAGUCGCUCUUUAACGUCUUAUGUAAUGGUUUUCCGUGAAAUCGCAGGUCUCCAUUGCUAGGGGUCAUAUCCAAGAUCAGCUACUGAGAGUUACGAGUUCGACGAGAAGGAAUAUCAUACAGUUCUUCAUCUUCCAAAUAUCGAAUUUGUCUCGAGAAUGGUAGAACAACUCAUUACAGUUUUACACAAAGCUAGGGACAAUUGAAGCACCGAUGACGAGGAGGAUAAAGCAUUCUCAUCACGGUUUAGUGUUUACAGCAAAAUCAAACUCACCGUAUUAUCGGUACUUCUUUGUUCCUUGAGUCCCAAGGCUUCUGGUCGAAGUGAAUAUGUAGGAGUCGUAUUAUAUUGGAAUCUGGAGAUUACUGACAUGCUUUUCAAUGGUUUAAACAUUGUAGAUAACACCUUCUGCUCAUAUUCCUUAUUUUCAAAGGGCUACUUGUUACAAAAAUGGAGAAAACCAAAUUAAAACAAACGUAAAGGAAAUAAUGGAUACCAAGGAAUUUACGUGGCUACGUUCAUGGGAAAGCGGUAUAAGCUUCUUUUCUUAUGUCGAAUAACGUUACAACGAGAGUAUACUUAAUCUCUAAGGCUACAGUGUCUCGCCAAGAGACGCUUGGUAAGUGGGAAGCUAGUUAUUAAUUAAUAAUUACUAACUCCCACAUCGGACAAAAAUCAAAUAUUAAAUAUGUUUAAAAGGAUUUACACAAUGCUAUGAUACUGCCGAGCCUAGUAGCGUGAGCUUGUAACUGAGCAAGACAUUAAAGUGUUUGUUUGCCUCGAUGAAGCCUAACCAAGUGAGACUAUGGUGGUCUUGGUCUAUUCACCCUUACGUGAAAUCACACAAACAAAGUGCGUCCUUAAGCCGCGUACCAUGAUAUACGUACCCUCAGCGUGCUAUCUGGUGUGACAUCUCAUUACACAUUCACUUUUUAUAACCCACAUCAAAGUGAUUAAUGUCAUGCAAUCUUUCUACGUCGUCCUGAAUUCACCCCGAUGGUGUAAAGUGUCUCUUGGAAUAAAAAUUAAAAACAAAUCAUGCAAUAUUUCAACUAGUCCUAUACCAUCUACUAGUUGAAAAUCUUAGUGAUGAAUAUCGUGCAACCUUUCUACAUCGUCCUAACUUCACCCCCAUAGUAAAAUGUGUUGUAAUAAAAAUUUUAAAAAAAAAUCAUGCAUUAUUUUAAUUGGUCAUAUACUAUCUACCAGUUGAAAAUCAAAUUACCAAAUGGACAAACUAACAAAUUAAGUAUGAAACUACGAAUAAUAUUAAUUGGAAAACAAUAAACAAGACUGCUGCCAAGACGACUACAUCUUGAUUGACUUGUAAUAUAAAAAAAAUCAUGCAAUAUUUCAGCCAGUCAUAUAUCAUCUACUAGUUGAAAAUCAGAGUACUAAACGGACGAACAAAGUAUGAAACUACGAAUACUAUUAACAGAAAAGCAAUAAACAAGAAUACCAAGACGGCUACAAACUAUAAAGACACUCAUAUCUAUAGAGAAGAGAAUGUCUCAGCUGAUCACAUGGCUGACUUAGGUUAUGGCUUCCAUUGGUCAUCAUGUUUUGGUUUCUCCUCCUAUCACUGCUACUAAUUUUUUGCAGUUUCUGAUAUUAUUGGCAAUGUCAUUCAUAGGGUUGUCCUUGCCUAGGUUUUUGUUGUUUUGCUUGCGCUUUGCCCUCCUCUAUACCAAUAAAAAAAAUUGUUUAAAUUCUAAAUUUCUAAUGAGGUUAAUUUCUACUUUAUUACCUUCAAGUUCGCAAAAUCGUAUUUUACUACACUUAUUUUCCGUCUCACUUCCAUACUUUUAAGUUCAAUUUUGCGCUAUUUUAAUACUUCUAUUAAUUUUUAUGUCAACUCAUUCGUUAAUUGAUGAUCUUACAUUACUCAUUGCUCUAGCCCACCAAAUUUCAGACACCUAGAGUUUCAACUUAAAAUAAAUAGGAGUAAUUAGGUUUUCAUCCUUAUUUUUACUACUCUAUUGAUUAAAACCUUAUUACUUUUCAAUUUUUGAUCAAGGUCCUUUGUAUUAAUAAUAUAAUUAAUUAUUUCAAUAAUAAAAUAUUUUUUAUUUCUAAAUAUAUUCAUUUAAUAUUAAAAAUGUUACAAUUAGUAUAUUUAUAUUUAUGGCUAAAUUUUUUAUCAUAUAUUUUUAUUUUUAGUUUGUACCCAUUUUUAAUUUGCAACCCUUUUUUAAUUUGUACCAAUUUUCCUUUCAGUUUUUAAUUUGUACCCAUAUAUUAAUUUCUUUUUGUGCCCAUAUUUUUUAAAGUUUUAUUUGUAUUGUACCCAUAUUUUUUUUAUUUUUUGUACCCAUUUUUUUUUUGCUAAAUGUACCAAUUUUGAAGAAUGUACCCAUGUUUUGAUACAAUAAUUUUUUGGUUAUUUUUUAUGAAUGUACCCAUGUUUACACACACACACACACAAUAGUAUAUUUAUAUUUUAAUAUUUUUAAUCCCACAAAUUAUGGUUUUUUAUUUAAAAUCUCAUUACUAUAAACAACUAUAAAUUUUAAUUUUUAAUUAAAAAAAUAUAGUAACGUACAUAGAAAUAAAUUAUCAAUUAAUUUCAGGGACUUGGAUCAAAAAUUGAAAACCAACAAGGUUUCAGUCAAAGACUAUUCAUAACUAGGGACCGCAUCCAAAGUCUCCCAAAUAAAUAUUACAAAGUAAUUAAUUAAGAAAAAUUUGAAGAAAAAAAAAAAAAAAAAAGGCCUCUCAUUCUCUUCCCCUCUCUCUUCAACUCCCACUAUGCGACUGACUUCUCCCUCCUCUGUUUCUUCUCCAGAAUCCACCGCCACCGAUGAAGAGGAGGAUAAAGCAUUCUCAUCACUAUUUACAGAAAUCAAACUCUCCGUAUUAUCGGUACUUUUUUGUUCCUUGAGUCCCAAGGCUUCUGGUCGAAGUAAAUAUGUAGGAGUCGUGCAAGGUGUGUAAAGGAUACUGGAAUCUGGAUAUUACUGACAUGCUUUUCAAUGGUUUAAACAUUGUAAUUUGUAGAUAUAACACCUUCUGCUCAAAUUCCCUCAUUCUCAAGGGGCUACUCGUCACAAAAAUGGAGAAAACCAAAUAAGAUAAACGUAAAGGAAAUAAUGGAUACCAAGGAGUUUACGUGGCUGCGUUCAUGGGAAAGCGGUAUAAGCUUCUUUUCUUACGUCGAAUAAGGGUACAACGAGAGAAUACUUAAUCUCUAAGGCUACUGUCUCACCUGGAAAUUAAUAUGAGAAGAGCUUUCUAUUCAUCACUCUCUGUUGGAUUUUGAAUUUCACAGUUGGUAAGUUGAAAGCUAGUUAUUAAAUAUAUAAUGGCUAAAGUCCCACAUCGGACAGAGAUCAAAUAUUAAAUAUAUUUAAAAGGGUUUACACAAUGAUAUGAUAUUGCCGAGCCUAGUAGCGUGGGUUUGUAACUAAGCAAGGCAUUAAAGUGAUUGGUUGUAUCGGUGAUGCCUAACCAGGUGAGGUUAUGGUGGUCUUAGUCUGUUCACCUUAGGUGAAAUCAUACAAUGUGCACCCUUAAGCCCUCGGGUUAGUAGGGUUUCCCAUCCACCAUGGUUGGGUAGCUAAUAAAAACUUGCUUUAGAUUGGGGUUAUGGGUUCCAACCCAAGCCCCGCAGACCAAGAUAUGCCUACCCUCAGCGUGCUGCCUGGUGUAUGGCAUCCAACUACACAUUCACUUUUUGGGACAAGUGUGGAAUCUCC